UUGUUUUUCUAAAGGAAGUGUUCUAGGUGGGAUCCAGUCAGGAUCAGGAAGUGCUUGGGACCAGCUGUGGCGUGGAUGGGCCGUGCCCUUGGAGAAGGCUGAGGACAUUGUUUGGGACCAGCUUUUCUUCUGGCAGCAGAUGGUGUGAGCCGGGCUCUGCGGAUGCUGAGGCUGCUCUGGGCUCUGCCAGGGCUCUGCUGGGCACAGCACCAGGCCGGGAUCAGCCAAAGAAGAAACGCUGUGACCUGCAGCAGAGACUUGAGCAUUUUGGCAAUGCAGCUCAAGUCUGCAGAGUGUCCACCUCCAAGGGAAAACAUGACACCCCCCAAAAAUAAACUUGUUCAAUAACUUC